GGAGCGGCCGAUGUCAGAUUAGCUAGUUGGUGGGGUAAAGGCCCACCAAGGCGACGAUCUGUAGCUGGUCUGAGAGGACGACCAGCCACACUGGGACUGAGACACGGCCCAGACUCCUACGGGAGGCAGCAGUGGGGAAUUUUGGACAAUGGGCGAAAGCCUGAUCCAGCCAUGCCGCGUGUCUGAAGAAGGCCUUCGGGUUGUAAAGGACUUUCGUCAGGGAGGAAAUCCCUAGCGUUAAUACCGCUGGGGGAUGACAGUACCUGAAGAAUAAGCACCGGCUAACUACGUGCCAGCAGCCGCGGUAAUACGUAGGGUGCGAGCGUUAAUCGGAAUUACUGGGCGUAAAGCGUGCGCAGGCGGUUUGAUAAGCCAGAUGUGAAAUCCCCGAGCUCAACUUGGGAACUGCGUUUGGAACUGUCAGACUAGAGUGCGUCAGAGGGGGGUGGAAUUCCGCGUGUAGCAGUGAAAUGCGUAGAGAUGCGGAGGAACACCGAUGGCGAAGGCAGCCCCCUGGGAUGACACUGACG
rnacentral:rRNA from 1 species